UGCCAACAUUGUUCUGCACACCUCUCAAAUUACAGACACCGACACGGUUGAUCUGUCUCCGUACUGUCUGAAACUUGACCUAUUGUUGUUCUUGAUAUAAAAAUAGCUACAUUAUCUCAGCUACCGAGAACAAACAAACAACGUCAGCAGUUUACUGCAUUGUUCAAAUUUCCCGGUUUAUCGGUUGAGCUGGAGACAGUCUGUCGCGUGCCUCAGACGCGCGGCAAUCGUUACGUCGCCGGUCUGCAGCGCGCCGGGCAUGCGCAGAGCUGGCGCCACGGCUCGCGGCUAGUGAGGGAACUCCGGGCGUCCGGCAUCAGCCCCCGAGCGCACCGCCUCCGCGCCGCAGUCCUCCCGCCUUCCGCGCCGGCUAAACACGCUCACAGCCGCAUCAUGGUGAUGGAUAACGCACUAAUAGAAGAAAAUAAAAAUGAAGAGAAUUCAUCGAUAUUUGUUACGAAUUUUCAAAAUGGAGAAACAAUUACAUAUUCCUUGGCCCUUGUAAAAGGAAUUAUUACAAGAACAACUAACAGUCAAGAUAAAUUAGUUUGCAUAACUAAAAGAAAUGGAGUUCAAAAUAAAUCACACUGGGAUGUUAUCAACGGUGAAUUCAAAGUUCUUGUGGAACUAAACAGAGGAGGAAAUGAAAUUGAAUUUGAGUAUGAAAAUGGACAGCAACAUCGGACCCUAUUAUUGGAAUAUGCUCCAAGAAAAACGAACCUCCGAGUAACUCCAGUGUAUAUAGUUUGCCAGGGUCAUGAUGGUGGUUUUCAAUGCCCUCCAGACGUUAAUAACUCAAUUGAAAGUGCCUGUGCACGUAUAGCUAUUGGAGCCAAGCUUAUACAAAGCAUAACAGCAGAAAAAAUAAUGGAAAGUGGUUUUGGACGGAAGACGUUUCAACUAGAACACGAAAUAAACACAAAGAAACCAGAAUGCCACGUAUUUCGAAGUAACCUAAAUGUAAACAAGGCUAGAAAAAUGAAACAAUCUGAACUAUGGUCACAUUUCGGCCGCGAGCUAAUGCUAUCAGAUUUGGGGAGCAAUGAAAGAAAAUAUUUAGCUUUUAUAUCAUGCACUCGGUACAAAGGCACCGAUGUAAACAAACCAAUGACCCAUGAUGAAAUCGUAUCCAUGACUGAAGCCUACGCAGCCCUAGGAGGUGGCGGAUUAGCCCUCUUUGGAACAGCAUGUCUUUAUACGUGGCCUUCUUGUAUAGAGGAAAUUAUUCCAAAGUUUCUAAAUAUUACUCCGGUGAACAGCCUACGAUUUAUGGAUGACAGUGGGUAUCGAGGAACUCUUGGAGGAUGUUUUGCAACCACAUUGGGUUCAGUUUUCCAUGAGCUUGGUCACACGUUUGACUUAGGUCAUACAAAGGAUGGAAUCAUGGGAAGAGGGUUUGAUAAUUUAGAUCGAGUUUUUACAGUGGGUGACAAAAAAUCAACGAACAUUAAAGACAGUAUGAAUAAUUUUAGUGGUAAGCCUGUUCAACAUUCUACUGUUUCUCUUCAACGUAAUAUCAGUGUUACCAUGAAUGUAGCUGAGCCCAUGAGACUAUUAGGACCCAGGAGUAAAACCACCCUUGGGAAUUUUGUUUCCAUGUCUAAAUCUGACAUCAUACGACGAAGCCCGAAUGUAACACCAAUAACGAGGCCUUCUAGUGUAUACUCAAACAUAUCUAACAGAUUAUCGGAGUCUAAAAAAAAUAUCAACCGGAUGAAUGGCAACGAUCCAAUUUACUGGACAAGGAACUGCGCUGUGUUAUUAUCUUACCAUAGAUGGUUUAAUAACGAAUAUGGAAGAGAAAGACAAGCCAUAACCAGAUAUUUGAAAUUUGACAAAAACAAAAUGAUGAUAAUAUCAACAGCUGGAUUGAGAAUAGUUGAAGUGAGAGAUGAAUCAAGUGGCAUGGUUAUAGACUCAUACGAGUUCACAGACGUUCUACCUGAAAAAAGAUUUUUGCUUCCUUUUACAUUUUCACCUAAAAGUAAAGUGCUCACGAUAGUUGUAGAAGACGAUCUCGGAAAUGUGUUGAAACAAACAUUUUCUUACUGAAAGAACGCUGAAUAGUGGAGAUGACAAUAAAGUGGCAAUCAUUAAAAUAAGAAUACUUUAAUGUAAAUAGUACUAAAAUAUUUUUCCAUUGAUAGCAACAUAAUUCACGUUUAUACAACUGGCAACAAAAAUAUAUAUUUUGUUUAUCAGCUGUCAUGUGUCAACGUCAGCUGUUUUUUGUGUUCAAUGUUAUUUUAUCAGAAAAUUAACAAUUCGGCUACAUAAAUGCAAUGAUUUUAAUACGAGAUAACAAAAUCAGGGCAUUACACCGUAUUAAAUUCAGACCAGAAUUAAUAUUUUAAAAUGGCCUCUAAAUGUAACAAAAUUUCGUUUGAUAUAAACAAACAUUUUCCGAUUGAUAAUAAUAAUAAGAUAAACAUUGUUAAAUUUAUUGAAGCAACGUCGAACCUAGUUGGUGUAAUAGUAUUUUUUAAUUACAGACAAUUUUGGCAAACUCUUCACGCCUGUAAAGCUUGAUAUUCAAGGAAACAUUGAU